rnacentral:rRNA from 1 species
UACGAAGGGUGCAAGCGUUACUCGGAAUUACUGGGCGUAAAGCGUGCGCAGGCGGUUCUAUAAGACAGAUGUGAAAUCCCCGGGCUCAACCUGGGAACUGCAUUUGUGACUGUAGAGCUGGAGUACGGUAGAGAGGGAUGGAAUUCCGCGUGUAGCAGUGAAAUGCGUAGAUAUGCGGAGGAACACCGAUGGCGAAGGCAAUCCCCUGGACCUGUACUGACGCUCAUGCACGAAAGCGUGGG